rnacentral:rRNA from 1 species
CCACGCCGUAAACGUUGGGCGCUAGAUGUGGGUCACAUUCCACGUGAUCCGUGUCGCAGCUAACGCAUUAAGCGCCCCGCCUGGGGAGUACGGCCGCAAGGCUAAAACUCAAAGGAAUUGACGGGGGCCCGCACAAGCGGCGGAGCAUGCGGAUUAAUUCGAUGCAACGCGAAGAACCUUACCAAGGCUUGACAUAUACAGGAAAACUGCAGAAAUGUAGUCCCCCGCAAGGGUCUGUAUACGGGUGGUGCAUGGUUGUCGUCAGCUCGUGUCGUGAGAUGUUGGGUUAAGUCCCGCAACGAGCGCAACCCUCGUCCUAUGUUGCCAGCACGUUAUGGUGGGAACUCAUGGGAGACUGCCGGGGUCAACUCGGAGGAAGGUGGGGAUGACGUCAAAUCAUCAUGCCCCUUAUGUCUUGGGCUUCACGCAUGCUACAAUGGCCGGUACAAAGGGCUGCAAUACCGCAAGGUGGAGCGAAUCCCAAAAAGCCGGUCUCAGUUCGGAUUGAGGUCUGCAACUCGACCUCAUGAAGUCGGAGUCGCUAGUAAUCGCAGAUCAGCAACGCUGCGGUGAAUACGUUCCCGGGCCUUGUACACACCGCCCGUCAAGUCACGAAAGUCGGUAACACCCGAAGCCGGUGGCCUAACCGUGAGGAAG